rnacentral:rRNA from 1 species
CCUACGGGAGGCUGCAGUGAGGAAUAUUGGUCAAUGGACGAGAGUCUGAACCAGCCAAGUAGCGUGAAGGAUGACUGCCCUAUGGGUUGUAAACUUCUUUUAUAUGGGAAUAAAAUGUUCCACGUGUGGGAUUUUGUAUGUACCAUAUGAAUAAGGAUCGGCUAACUCCGUGCCAGCAGCCGCGGUAAUACGGUGGAUCCGAGCGUUAUCCGGGUUUAUUGGGUUUAAAGGGAGCGUAGGUGGAUUGUUAAGUCAGUUGUGAAAGUUUGCGGCUCAACCGUAAAAUUGCAGUUGAAACUGGCAGUCUUGAGUACAGUAGAGGUGGGCGGAAUUCGUGGUGUAGCGGUGAAAUGCUUAGAUAUCACGAAGAACUCCGAUUGCGAAGGCAGUUCACUGGACUGCAACUGACACUGAGGCUCGAAAGUGUGGGUAUCAAACAGGAUUAGAUACCCCAGUAGUC